GAAAAUGAAAGGGAACAUGGGAAUCAUGCGUGAUCAAAUAAUUCAACCAAUGACAGUAGCUUGUGAAUACGUCAUGUUUGGGCUCAAAAGUAUGACGUAUAAAUAUCAUAGUUUGGCAGCAUAUUUUUCUUUAUACUGGAUGGACUCGGAGCAGAACUGUAUUGUAUUCGAUAGCAUAUCGUGAGAGCGAGCUAGGUAUAUACGUGAGAGGAGUUUUCGCCAAGAUCGCUUUGAAGGCUACAUAAUUUACGUUGGACAACGUUGGCCUCCGAGCAACAGUCGUUUGACCAGCUAUAUAUUUCUACAAAACGGAGGAGCGAUUGUUGUAAGAAAUUAUUAUUGUCAAUAUUUUUCCAUCAAACAAACCGGAUUUUUGGCGUACACUAAGUUGCCUGCAACCCCUCCUUGGAUUAAGUUUGAUGUCACUGCAUCUAUUCUUUGAUAUGACCAAGAAGUUUAUACGACUGGAGUUCCAAUGGGCAACAAAUUUAUUCAAGCAGCUGUUUAUUUCUGAAGAAAGCACAAACAAAAUCUACUGUAGUAAUGUUGCCUUUGAUAUCCGCCGUGCGAAGCUGCCAGUUUCCUGGGAAAAACGAGAAGUGAUUUUUUUUUUAUAUAAUAUGUAUCAAUAGGUCUAUCUCAUCAUUUAUAUCAAUAAACGAACUGGAAAUUGGGCACCAAUCGAUAUUGUGCUAAGAUGUUUUGCUAGAUUGUUUCAACUAGGCUUUAAUUAGUGAAGAAAAUAUGGAUUUGACCUUCAUAAAAUCCAGAUUUUGACACUUUUCCGAUCGUUCCCAACAUAUACAAAAAUAACAUACGGAUAUUAGAAUAUUAAUUCUUGUUCAUGAUUUAUAGUGCACGCACAUGCAGAGUCGAGUAAAUUUUAGUCACAUAUUUUAGAAAAUAUUGCACCAUUUCUUUUCCCAUGCCCUGCAGGGUAAGAAUUAUGAACCGCUCAUACCAGACCAUAAUGCAGCUAAAAGCAAUUAUCAUCACAAAGCCCACCUAAUGAAUAUUCAUGACGAUGUGCAUAUAACUGUUUUCACAAAAUAUUGAUAAACUUUAAAAUUCAAUAACUUUGUUAUUUGUUAGCCGAUUUUGAUGAAAUUUUCAGAAUUUUGCUAUGUGAAUUUUACUAUAUUUAUUUGGAUAUAAUAUUUUCAGCCCGGACCAUCCCUUUAAGCUGAAGUAAUUCAGGAAUCGGUUUUUUCUUCUCCAUUUGCAAGGAAGAUUCAAUAAAGUAAAGUCUGGCUGACAGUUGGCGGCUUCGAACUUGAUUCAAAGGGAAUUAGUUUGCUGACUGUGGCUCCAUCUCUAUUUAAACCUUGAUCAUACAUACCAAGAAAAUACAAGUGCAAUUUUAGAGCUAGUGGUACGGAGCUUCUUUUGGGGUGCAAUUGACGAUAAGAAAGAAGUUUUUAACAUUAGACUGCAAUUGGCUGUAUCUUGCACCCUAAUCGAGGGCAAAUUUGUUAGAGAAAGAGCAAAUUAAUUUUGAACCAUUUUAAUGUAAACAUUUAUGCACCCUAAAAGAUUCAAUGUUGCAUGUUGUAUUAUACAAACUGAUUUUCAUGGGUGCAAACAAGACCAAAACCAGCCUUUCUCACUCUUUUAUUCAUCGGGUGCAAGUUCGCACCCAAAAGUAAAAGUAUACACUUUUAAAGGGGGGAUCCAGGCUAAAAAAUACCACAGUUUGAAGUGGUAAAGAAAAAUCAGACAAAAUACUGAAAAGUUCUUCAAAAUUGGACAAGGAAUAACAAAGUUCUGGCAUUGUUUCAGAGAAACGGUUCUAUGCAAGUCUUCAUGAAUAUUUAAUGAGUAAACUCCUGUCUAUCCCCACUUUGCAUUUUAUUACAUGAAUUGUGUUUACUCAUAUUUAUCGUCAAGAGCUAAAAAAAAAAAAAGGUUUUAGUGCAUUAGAUAAGAUAUUCAUUGCUGCAAAUUAUUUUAUCAGAAGGGAGAAAUAUCAUACACACAUGUAUGAAAUAAUUGAUUUCAAGUAACUACAAAAGAAUAAGUAAAGUGAGGAUAUGACAUCAGCUCACCUAAAGAAUAUUCAUGACAUUAUGCACAAAAACUGUUUUCACAAAAUAUUGCUAAACUUUAAAAUUCAAUUUGCUAUAAGAUUUUGAUGAUAUUGUCAGCAUUUUCCCAGUGAUUUUACUCUAUUUAUUUAGAUAUGAUUAUUUUCAGUCUGGAGUACCCAUUCAAACAAUCAUGAUAGCGUCAAAAUAACGAAAUGUGUUGGUGAAUGUAAUUAUAUGUCCAACUGAAAGAAAGUGGCAAAAUAGACCUUAUUUUUGCCAAGCAUCUAUCAAAAUUUUAGCUGAAUUUGGAGUUUGACCAUUGUUUUUUGUUCGGAUACAUUAGUAUUCAACAACAGAUUGGUUACUUGAUCGAUCUUGUUUGGAACUGUCGCAUUAGGGUUGCACCGGACCGUUUGUGUGAAUUUCUUUCCUGUUUUUAAACACAGCUGACGUUAGUAAAGAAUGAAUAUAACCGGCGAUCGCGAUUUUAAAAACUGCUAUGAUGUCAUGAAGAGAAUGGAUACAGCCAUGAGUGAUUGUGGAUCUGCGCAUCCCCAAAACGGCACGUUUUCACAACAUUCGGACAAAGGAAAGUCUCGUAGAUUUUGAGGUUUUGAACCUGUACAUGUGAAUUUACCGGGAUGUAGUCAUCUUGGUCCAGAAGACUAUCAUCACCCCUGUAUCAUAAUUCGUUUGUUCUUCGUUUAAAUCUGUUGAUGAUGAAAAGACUGACUUUUUGAAAAUAGGAAACUGAACCCAGUUGGUUUUAAAAGCCUUUCAAAUAUGGAUUGAGCUUUAGAAAAUAGUGUUUAUUGCUGUAUUUUUUUAUUUGAAACCACAUUGUCGUGUCAGUUAAAUUAUUGAUAAUUUAUCAUUAUUCAAAAUAUUAUUGUGUUACUCUUUCCUUCA